UACCAGCACCCCGAGUGGUCGGGACGUUUAUUGGGCCUAAAGCAUCCGUAGCCGGUUCUACAAGUCUUCCGUUAAAUCCACCUGCUUAACAGAUGGGCUGCGGAAGAUACUAUGGAGCUAGGAGGCGGGAGAGGCAAGCGGUACUCGAUGGGUAGGGGUAAAAUCCGUUGAUCCAUUGAAGACCACCAGUGGCGAAGGCGGCUUGCCAGAACGCGCUCGGCGGUGAGGGAUGAAAGCUGGGGGAGCAAACCGG
rnacentral:rRNA from 1 species